rnacentral:rRNA from 1 species
UACGAAGGGGGCUAGCGUUGCUCGGAAUCAUUGGGCGUAAAGCGCACGUAGGCGGUUUGUUAAGUCAGGGGUGAAAUCCUGGAGCUCAACUCCAGAACUGCCUUUGAUACUGGCGAUCUCGAGUUCGGGAGAGGUGAGUGGAACUGCGAGUGUAGAGGUGAAAUUCGUAGAUAUUCGCAAGAACACCAGUGGCGAAGGCGGCUCACUGGCCCGAUACUGACGCUGAGGUGCGAAAGCGUGGGGAGCAAACAGG